GUGCUUGCUUCAGCAGCACAUAUACUAAAAUUGGAACCAUACAGAGAAGAUUAGUAUGGCCCCUGUGCAAGAAUGACAUGCAAAUUUGUGGAGUGUUUCGUUUUUAA
rnacentral:snRNA from 1 species